rnacentral:pre_miRNA from 1 species
UUAACUAGAAUUUGUAUGCAGUUGGAAUAGCGCCCCUAGCGGCAAACGUAGGCAAACGUUCCAAAUCCAUACAAAUUUGAGUUA